UGUGGUGUUCGGUCGCACCACUCCGCGACGCGAUCAUUGUUGCUUCCCUCGUUAUCAAUUACGUGAGGGAGGACUUACUGCGGCAUCUCCUGCGAGCACUAGCCGAUUUUGGAUAAAAAGACCUCUAAAUAUAGAAAGCAGGUGGCGAUUUACAGCAUAAUAUGAUCGUAGAGUGCCAUGUUGGUGCCUGAUGCCUUAUCACUUUCAAGCCAGUCCGAAAAAUUUAUAAUAUUUACUUAUCUAUGUAUAUUUGUACAUGUUACACCAUUGUGAUAUGAUUUGAAUUGCAACGAUAAUAACGAAAAAAUAAAUAAAUUUGACGAUAUCAAUUACAUCAA